rnacentral:lncRNA from 1 species
UUGAAGAGUAGGAAAGUUAAUCAGGUUGUGAUUACAGUAAUCCCGAAAUCUAGAGGAAAUUAAAUAAACAAAACACAUGGGAAAAAUGCUAGAGUUUUUCAAAAUAGAUACAUAUGUUCAACUAGAAGGUCAACAAAUUAUAAAUCCCUAAAAAAAAAACUAAGCUGCAGCAUCAGUGUUGUCUUGGUCUUCCAAAACAUCCUCCAAAGUGGGCUCAUGCUCAUCUGCUCACAUCCAACAAGGAUGAUCAUCGCAAAAGAGAAACAUACAACAUACACAAAAACAAGACAAGGGUGAGCUAAUUAUAUAAAUAAACAUCAUGCAACAGAUUAAACAUUUGAUCAUAAGAGAGUGCAUGGAUAGCAAACACAUUUUAUAGCAAACAACCUAAACAUGUGAGAUUCUAGACUUGACUCGUCCGGACUUUAAAAUGAGAGUCGGGCUAUGGCGAGUCUUGCACCCGUGGUGACUUAUGAAACUUGGGUUCCCCCCCCUGCCACAAUCACGAGGUUAGUCCGUUCCGCGCCUUGAGGCAUACUGGGAGCCCCCAAGACUAAGGACCUCCUGCUACUUCUCACCACAUGGU